CACAGGAGAGUGACAAACUGUAUGAAAUGAGAUUUUCUUCCCUGCUUGCACCGUGCCCACGGAACAAGUUUUCACUUGGAAAUGCUGAUUCCUCUCCCAGCCUGAUAAUAUUUGUCAUUUUCUCUCUUGGCCAAGUUCUUAGAGCCCUGAGAGGGGACAGAGCAAAGCUGUAAGUGCAGAUACCUGCUCCUCUUACCCUUGCUUGCCCAGGUGCUACGAGAUUUUCCUGUCUCUAGUGCAGGCUGGAUUUCUAAUUUUAUUUAACCAGUGCAUGAAGCCUGAGAUGUGCUCUUUUGGAAAAGUAUGAAUACCUCCUUGGCAACACUUGAGAGAAAAAAUUUAGGUUGUGCUGCUCCUGAAUGACAGUCAGAACAUAAAAGUUUGCAUUGCAACCGCUUUGGAAAAUAGCACUUGAUUAGUUUUGACUGAAACAACCUGGGCUGCAUCGGAAAAACAACACUUCAAAGAAAAUGCUCCUUUUCCCAAGAGGUCAUUAAAUAAUUGUGGAUUAUUGCAGCAAAAUGCAACAAGGGAUUUUAUUCUAAUUCAGAGGAGCCAGGAAGCUUUCUAAGCUGAUGACAGAGAUAUGUCUUCAAAGGAAACUGGGAAUUUAGGGAAGACUUCACUGGAGCUGCACAUCAAGAAGCAGAAGUCCCAUUUCCCCACAGAACUGCCCACCUGGGUAACAGCAAGUUUUCUCCCUGCCUUUUGGCCCAGGUUUCAGUAGAUCAAGAGCCUCUAAAUCCAAGCAGCCAAGGAGGAACACAGAAUGGGCACAUGAAGGUGUACUGAAGGAGUAGAAUCGAUACACUGAAAUGAAGAUGCACUGAGAGUCCCUUACAAAGCUACUGAAAUCUGUGACUGUUCUGUCCUGUCAGAUUUGGCCUAGGCUUUGAAGGGCUUGCACUAAAAAAUGAACUUUCCUACUUCUCAUUGAAUUCAAUUAA